CAGUAGCCGCGGGAAUACAGAGGGUGCGAGCGUUAAUCGGAUUUACUGGGCGUAAAGCGCACGUAGGCGGAUAUUUAAGUCAGGGGUGAAAUCCCGCAGCACAACUGCGGAACUGCCUUUGAUACUGGGUAUCUUGAGUAUGGAAGAGGUUAGUGGAAUUGCGAGUGUAGAGGUGAAAUUCGUAGAUAUUCGCAGGAACACCAGUGGCGAAGGCGGCUAACUGGUCCAUAACUGACGCUGAGGUGCGAAAGCGUGGGGAGCAAACAGGAUUAGAUACCCCCGUAGUCCCUGUCUCUUAUAC
rnacentral:rRNA from 1 species